rnacentral:rRNA from 1 species
GAUGAACGCUGGCGGCGUGCUUAACACAUGCAAGUCGAACGAAGAAGAGUUGAAUGAGAGCUUCGGCAGGAUUUCUUCUCAUCUUAGUGGCGGACGGGUGAGUAACGUGUGGGCAACCUGCCCUAUACUGGGGAAUAAUCACUGGAAACGGUGACUAAUACCGCAUGUCAUCACCGAGGGGCGUCCCUUGGUGAAAAAAGGAGCAAUUCGGUAUAGGAUGGGCCCGCAUCCAAUUAGGUAGAUGGUGAGGUAACGGCCCACCAUGCCGACGAUUGGUAGCCGGACUGAGAGGUUGAACGGCCACAUUGGGACUGAGACACGGCCCAG